rfam:Ictidomys tridecemlineatus contig059662, whole genome shotgun sequence.
ACCCUUCAGUUCAUGAGCGUGAUGACUGGGUAUUCAUACUAUUUGAGAUGUGCCUCCCUCUAAACAAUGUUAAGACGUCAGCACAUUACCAUGAAG